GGGCCCACUUCAGCAGCACAUAUUGUAAAAUUAGAAUGGGACAAAGAAGUAUGGCCUUUAUGCAAGGAUGACACAAAUGUGCGAAAAGUUCUAUGUUUUU
rnacentral:snRNA from 1 species